rnacentral:tRNA from 1 species
AGGGUUGUAGCUCAAUGGUAUAGCACUUGCAUAGCAUGUGUGAGGCCCUGGGUUCAAUUCCCAGUACUCCCC